rnacentral:rRNA from 1 species
AGUUUGAUCCUGGCUCGAAUGAACGCUGGCGGCAGGCCUAACACAUGCAAGUCGAACGGAGUUAUAUUGUAGCUUGCUAUGGUAUAACUUAGUGGCAGACGGGUGAGUAAUGUAUAGGAAUCUACCUAGUAGUACGGAAUAAUUGUUGGAAACGGCAACUAAUACCGUAUACGCCCUACGGGGGAAAAAUUUAUUGCUAUUAGAUGAGCCUAUAUUAGAUUAGCUAGUUGGUGGAGUAAUAGCCUACCAAGGCAAUGAUCUAUAGCUGAUCUGAGAGGAUGAUCAGCCACACUGGAACUGAGAUACGGUCCAGACUCCUACGGGAGGCAGCAGUGGGGAAUAUUGGACAAUGGGCGAAAGCCUGAUCCAGCCAUGCCGCAUGAGUGAAGAAGGCCUUUGGGUUGUAAAGCUCUUUUAGUGAGGAAGAUAAUGACGGUACUCACAGAAGAAGUCCUGGCUAACUCCGUGCCAGCAGCCGCGGUAAUACGGAGAGGGCUAGCGUUAUUCGGAAUUAUUGGGCGUAAAGGGCGCGUAGGCGGAUUAGUAAGUUAAAAGUGAAAUCCCAAGGCUCAACCUUGGAAUUGCUUCUAAAACUGCUAAUCUAGAGAUUGAAAGAGGAUAGAGGAAUUCCUAGUGUAGAGGUGAAAUUCGUAAAUAUUAGGAGGAACACCAGUGGCGAAGGCGUCUAUCUGGUUCAAAUCUGACGCUGAGGCGCGAAGGCGUGGGGAGCAAACAGGAUUAGAUACCCUGGUAGUACACGCUGUAAACGAUGAAUGUUAAAUAUGGGAAGUUUUACUUUCUGUAUUACAGCUAACGCGUUAAACAUUCCGCCUGGGGACUACGGUCG